rnacentral:lncRNA from 12 species
GUAGAACAUGAUCCUUUCUUGAGAAGAAACUUCAGCUCAGCUAUGUUAUUAUGGCUGAUUUUGAGAAUGCUGAGGCCACGGUUCACGGGGGAGAUGCUGAUGGAAAAGACAGGUGAGGCAUAAACAAUGUAUCCUGAGCGUCAAAAGCUAAAGAAAUGAAGACAACUGUCUGGUGGCCUGACAUCAGCUGGAGGCAGCAGUAUAACAUGGGAUGGGAAGAAGAUCCUUUUGACAUUUUGUGAAUGUU